rnacentral:tRNA from 1 species
CGAGGUGUAGCGCAGUCUGGUCAGCGCAUCUGUUUUGGUACAGAGGCCAUAGGUUCGAAUCCUGUCACCUUGA